rnacentral:rRNA from 1 species
CGCGCAGGUGGUUUCUUAAGUCUGAUGUGAAAGCCCACGGCUCAACCGUGGAGGGUCAUUGGAAACUGGGAGACUUGAGUGCAGAAGAGGAUAGUGGAACUCCAAGUGUAGCGGUGAAAUGCGUAGAGAUUUGGAGGAACACCAGUGGCGAAGGCGACUGUCUGGUCUGUAACUGACACUGAGGCGCGAAAGCGUGGGAGCAAACA